rnacentral:rRNA from 1 species
GGAGCGAACAGGAUUAGAUACCCCUGGUAGUCCAUGCCGUAAACGUUGGGCACUAGGUGUGGGGUCCAUUCCACGGAUUCUGCGCCGUAGCUAACGCAUUAAGUGCCCCGCCUGGGGAGUACGGCCGCAAGGCUAAAACUCAAAGGAAUUGACGGGGGCCCGCACAAGCGGCGGAGCAUGCGGAUUAAUUCGAUGCAACGCGAAGAACCUUACCAAGGCUUGACAUGCACUGGAUCGCUGCAGAGAUGUGGUUUUCUUUUUGACUGGUGUACAGGUGGUGCAUGGUUGUCGUCAGCUCGUGUCGUGAGAUGUUGGGUUAAGUCCCGCAACGAGCGCAACCCUCGUUCUAUGUUGCCAGCACGUGAUGGUGGGAACUCAUGGGAGACUGCCGGGGUCAACUCGGAGGAAGGUGGGGAUGACGUCAAAUCAUCAUGCCCUUUAUGUCUUGGGCUUCACGCAUGCUACAAUGGCCGGUACAGAGGGUGGCGAUACCGUGAGGUGGAGCGAAUCUCUUAAAGCCGGUCUCAGUUCGGAUCGUAGUCUGCAACUCGACUACGUGAAGUCGGAGUCGCUAGUAAUCGCAGAUCAGCAAUGCUGCGGUGAAUACGUUCCCGGGCCUUGUACACACCGCCCGUCAAGUCACGAAAGUCGGUAACACCCGAAGCCGGUGGCCUAACUCCUUGUGGGGGAGCC